GUACCCUCACAGGGAGGACUUAGAGUUAGGAAGCAGUUAUGGACAAGGCCUACCCUGGUGUGAUAGAAACAGAAGAGGCUAGAGUGAGAGGUGGACUGUUGGAGCCACCACCAUCUACUCUAAGUACCAUGAUGUUCCAAAAAUGAUGGAUGGAUUAAAAGCCAGAAGUCUGUAUGACCAUCAGCAUCAAGUGACUCCGUGAGAACCCUAACUACAAAGAGGACUAUUUCAUUUAUGUUAGGUAGAAUGCCCAGAGGGGACUGGGCGGUCUCGUGGCCUGGAACCCCUACAGAUUUUAUUUUUUUUCUCCAGCUUUCUGGAGUUUUUUUUUUGUUUUUUCUGUCCACCCUGGCCAUCGGACCUUACUCCUUUUCUAUGUUAACUAAUGUUGCCUUAUUUUAAUUUCUUAUUUUGUCUUUUAUUUUUAUUUUCUUCAUUAUGUAAAGCACUUUGAGCUACUUUUUGUAUGAAAAUGUGCUAUAUAAAUAGAUGUUGUUGUUGUUGUUGUUGUUGCUGCUCUUUGGUUAACUAUGGUAUGAGUUCUAAGUAAAAGAUUUAUUCAAUUGAUGUUAGUUUGUCUGCUGGAGCAUAGGACAUCUGCCCACAGUGGCGAUGACUUCUUGUUAUGAUCUAUUUCUUUAACUUAGUGCUUAAUUAUGUUACUGUUGCUUUAUUUAAUUUAGAUUAAAUUCUUUUGACAUCAAUGUUCUAUUAAAAUAUUUCUCAGCUUC